GACGAACGCUGGCGGCGUGCUUAACACAUGCAAGUCGAACGGAAAGGCCCUGCUUUUGUGGGGUGCUCGAGUGGCGAACGGGUGAGUAACACGUGAGUAACCUGCCCUUGACUUUGGGAUAACUUCAGGAAACUGGGGCUAAUACCGGAUAGGAGCUCCUGCUGCAUGGUGGUGGUUGGAAAGUUUCGGCGGUUGGGGUUGGACGCGCGGCUUAUGAGCUUGUUGGUGUGGUAGUGGCGUACCAAGGCUUCGACGGGUAGCCGGCCUGAGAGGGUGACCGGCCACAUUGGGACUGAGGUACGACCCAGACUCCUACGGGAGGCAGCAGUGGGGAAUAUUGCACGAUGGGCGGAAGCCUGAUGCAGCAGCGCCGCGUGCGGGAUGACGGCCUUCGGGUUGUAAACCGCUUUCGCCUGUGACGAAGCGUGAGUGACGGUAAUGGGUAAAGAAGCACCGGCUAACUACGUG
rnacentral:rRNA from 1 species